CCUACGGGGGGCUGCAGUGGGGAAUAUUGCACAAUGGGCGCAAGCCUGAUGCAGCCAUGCCGCGUGUGUGAAGAAGGCCUUCGGGUUGUAAAGCACUUUCAGCGGGGAGGAAGGCGGUGAGGUUAAUAACCUCAUCGAUUGACGUUACCCGCAGAAGAAGCACCGGCUAACUCCGUGCCAGCAGCCGCGGUAAUACGGAGGGUGCAAGCGUUAAUCGGAAUUACUGGGCGUAAAGCGCACGCAGGCGGUCUGUCAAGUCGGAUGUGAAAUCCCCGGGCUCAACCUGGGAACUGCAUUCGAAACUGGCAGGCUGGAGUCUUGUAGAGGGGGGUAGAAUUCCAGGUGUAGCGGUGAAAUGCGUAGAGAUCUGGAGGAAUACCGGUGGCGAAGGCGGCCCCCUGGGCAAAGACUGACGCUCAGGUGCGAAAGCGUGGGGAGCAAACAGGAUUAGAUACCCGUGUAGUC
rnacentral:rRNA from 1 species